AGGACGAACGCUGGCGGCGUGCUUAACACAUGCAAGUCGAGCGGAAAGGCCCUUCGGGGUACUCGAGCGGCGAACGGGUGAGUAACACGUGAGCAAUCUGCCCUUAGCUUCGGGAUAGCCCCGGGAAACCGGAAUUAAUACCGGAUAUGACCUAGGCCGACAUCGGCUGUGGUGGAAAGUUUUUCGGCUGGGGAUGGACUCGCGGCCUAUCAGCUUGUUGGUGGGGUAAUGGCCUACCAAGGCGACGACGGGUAGCCGGCCUGAGAGGGCGACCGGCCACACUGGGACUGAGACACGGCCCAGACUCCUACGGGAGGCAGCAGUGGGGAAUCUUGCGCAAUGGGCGAAAGCCUGACGCAGCGACGCCGCGUGGGGGAUGAAGGCCUUCGGGUUGUAAACCCCUUUCAGCAGGGACGAAGCGAAAGUGACGGUACCUGCAGAAGAAGCGCCGGCUAACUACGCGCCAGCAGCCGC
rnacentral:rRNA from 1 species